ACCUGCUGCUAAACGACCUUGCUCAAUAUGUUUGUAGGUGCAGCUCAAAGAGAAUCCAACGGAUUCCUUCUUGUUUCUUUGCAAGUAGGUGACGCCUCACAGUCAAUAUGGCAAGAAUUUUUCACUGGACAGAACUCACAGGCCACGCAGACUAAAUCUGGAGAAACACCCAUGUGGGAAUCAAACAGGAAAUCCUAACACCUGAUGACUCCACCUGUUCCCCCAACUCACUCCAGGCACAGCUGAGGUGAUUAACAAGUACUAGUAAACUAGGCCUUGGACACAUACUGGAUUUCGUUACUUGUCAAAACAUGCGUGACAGAGUGUUCUUGAUUGAUUUGAAGUUUCAUUACAAGAUCCUGUCAGAGGGAAGAAAACUAUGGAAGAUUAAUUCUACUCAGCUGAACUUGUCAGUGAUGAGUGUAACUGUGUUUUAAAGCAGAAUUCCAAGUCUUCAGGCAUGGCAGAGAAUCAACUGGUUACUCAAGAUAUGAUCACCAAACUAUUAGAUACACUGGUUAUAGUCCUCCUGGUUAAAUAUUUCAAAAACACUCAAUUAAGAGGUCAAUCGAUAUAGUUGUGCAAAUCCAAAGUUUUGGAAAAUGGAGACAUACUCUGAAGAAGGAAGAAUAAAAAGUAACAGAAAAAAAAUGUUGUUUGCAAACUGGACUAUUCUUGCUUAUACAUCUCUAUAAAUACCAUGAUUAAUUACAAGCUGUAAGGAAAGGAGAAAGAAAAUA
rnacentral:lncRNA from 1 species